rnacentral:rRNA from 1 species
AAUCUUGGACAAUGGGGGAAACCCUGAUCUAGCCAUCCCGCGUGUUUGCUGGAGGCCUUCGGGUUGUAAAGUACUUUUUGCAGAGAAGAAAAGGUACCUCCUAAUACGAGGUACUGCUGACGGUAUCUGCUGAAUAAGCACCGGCUAACUACGUGCCAGCAGCCGCGGUAAGACGUAGGGUGCAAGCGUUAAUCGGAAUUACUGGGCGUAAAGCGUGUGUAGGCGGUUCGGAAAGAAAGAUGUGAAAUCCCAGGGCUCAACCUUGGAACUGCAUUUUUAACUGCCGAGCUAGAGUAUGUCAAAGGGGGGUAGAAUUCCACGUGUAGCAGUGAAAUGCGUAGAUAUGUGGAGGAAUACCGAUGGCGAAGGCAGCCCCCUGGGAUAAUACUGACGCUCAGACACGAAAGCGUGGGGAGCAAACA